rnacentral:rRNA from 1 species
UACGAAGGGGGCUAGCGUUGCUCGGAAUUACUGGGCGUAAAGGGCGCGUAGGCGGAUAUUUAAGUCGGGGGUGAAAGCCCAGGGCUCAACCCUGGAACAGCCUUCGAUACUGGAUAUCUUGAGUACGGGAGAGGUGUGUGGAACUCCGAGUGUAGAGGUGAAAUUCGUAGAUAUUCGCAAGAACACCAGUGGCGAAGGCGGCUCACUGGCCCGAUACUGACGCUGAGGCACGAAAGCGUGGG